ACGCUGGCGGCGUGCUUUAACACAUGCAAGUCGAACGGUAAGGCCCUUCGGGGGUACACGAGUGGCGAACGGGUGAGUAACACGUGGGUGAUCUGCCCUGCACUUCGGGAUAAGCCUGGGAAACUGGGUCUAAUACCGGAUAGGACCAUGGACUUCACGGUUUGUGGUGGAAAGCUUUUGCGGUGUGGGAUGGGCCCGCGGCCUAUCAGCUUGUUGGUGGGGUAAUGGCCUACCAAGGCGACGACGGGUAGCCGGCCUGAGAGGGUGUCCGGCCACACUGGGACUGAGAUACGGCCCAGACUCCCACGGGAGGCAGCAGUGGGGAAUAUUGCACAAUGGGCGCAAGCCUGAUGCAGCGACGCCGCGUGAGGGAUGACGGCCUUCGGGUUGUAAACCUCUUUCAAUAGGGACGAAGCGCAAGUGACGGUACCUAUAGAAGAAGCACCGGCCAACUACGUG
rnacentral:rRNA from 1 species